UUACAUCUUAAGCACUUAGGCCACAUUUAUGCCACUAGAGAUAUGGUAGGGUGGCAUAAGGUGGCCUAACCUAUCCUACCCAGUGUUUGGCAAACAAUUUUUUUGUGUUUGGAAACAAAACUUUUAUUGGUAGUAAGACAUUACUCAUCCCAUGAUGGGUGGUAUUAUUCACCCCAUGAUAGCUGAAGAAAAAAGUACUACCAGAAUAGUCUAUGAUAUUUCCUAAAUAUCAUUUAUUUUCUUUCCUUCUUUUUCUUCAUUUUCCUUUUAUUCUCUUUCACAACUUUCUCCUUCCUAUCUCUCUCCUCACACAACUUCAAAGUGUACCAGAAAGCAUUUCUGUUUCUUCUGGGGUCGAUUUGACAAUUUUUUGGGUUAUUUGGAAAGAGAGAAAUUUUAGAAUUUUUGAAGGUAAAAAAUAUCAGUAAAUAGGUUGAGAU
rnacentral:lncRNA from 1 species